ACGUAGGGGGCAAGCGUUGUCCGGAAUGAUUGGGCGUAAAGGGCGCGUAGGCGGCUUGGUAAGUUUGAAGUGAAAGUCCUUCUUUUAAGGAGGGAACUGCUUUGAAAACUGUCGGGCUUGAGUGCAGGAGAGGUAAGCGGAAUUCCCGGUGUAGCGGUGAAAUGCGUAGAGAUCGGGAGGAACACCAGUGGCGAAGGCGGCUUACUGGACUGUUACUGACGCUGAGGCGCGAAAGUGUGGGGAGCAAACAG
rnacentral:rRNA from 1 species